GAUGAACGCUAGCUACAGGCUUAACACAUGCAAGUCGCGGGGCAGCAUGGGGGUUGCUUGCCAUCCCCGAUGGCGACCGGCGCACGGGUGAGUAACGCGUAUCCAACCUGCCCUUCACCACGGGAUAACCCGGCGAAAGUCGGACUAAUACCGUAUGUUGUCCAUUGACGGCCUCCGAUUUGGACGAAAGGUUUGGCGGUGAAGGAUGGGGUUGCGUCCGAUUAGCUGGACGGCGGGGUGACGGCCCACCGUGGCGACGAUCGGUAGGGGUUCUGAGAGGAAGGUCCCCCACACUGGAACUGAGACACGGUCCAGACUCCUACGGGAGGCAGCAGUGAGGAAUAUUGGUCAAUGGGCGUAAGCCUGAACCAGCCAAGUAGCGUGCAGGAUGACGGCCCUAUGGGUUGUAAACUGCUUUUAUGCGGGGAUAAAGUGGCCCACGUGUGGGUUUUUGCAGGUACCGCAUGAAUAAGGACCGGCUAAUUCCGUG
rnacentral:rRNA from 1 species